CGGCUUUCCCCUUUCUUUCUUUCAUUUUCUCUUCAUUUUAUUGAAACACACACACACACCCACCCGCCAGCCUCCACUCCAAAACACACUAUCUCACCAUCAUUUUUCAGGCAAGAUCAUCGGAAAAAUACUUAGGAACUCCAAUGCAUCUUCAUUAUUUUAUUUGAGGUUCUAGCUAAUCUCCCCUUGGAGCUUGGAGAAUUAGGAUUUUGUGGUUGCGAGCCCUAUGCCAUGUGUGAUUUCCCGGUGAUCACCCGAUUUGAUUUCCGUAGUCUUUGUGACAAUGGAAUCAAAUUUAGGUCAGUGCCCUUUCACUUUGGAUGACGCGUUCUUCCCUGCUGUCCAUGGGGGGAAGAGGUUCUUUGAUUGUGUGUGAGUGAGGCUGCUGUCCAUGGGGCCAAGAGACUACAUGCAAGAGAGGUCCUAUUUGACGCGCUCUCUCUGCUGCCCAUAGGGAGAGAGAAAAAUCUUGAGGGUAUGGGUGAGGUUGCUGUCCAUGGAGCCAAGAGUCUGCAUACCAGAGAGGAUAAUAUCAUGCCAGUUGUGAAUGGGUGGAUCCCCUGACCGGUUUAUGUGGUAGUGUGGUAGAUUUGUGAUAAUUUAUCUUAUGUUAGAUAUUAUGGUUUUAGAAAUUAUAUUGUUGAUACUCACAGAUUACAGUAUAUAGUUUCAAGGUAUUUACUUUGAGAAACUUUGUGCUUCAUUAUGUAAUCAUUCUUGUCAUAUUAUUAUUAUUGAAGAUGAAACUUAUAUUUCCCCCACCCCCAUUAUUGUGCUACUUACUGGGUUUUGUCUCAUUCCAUUAUUUUUAUAAACUUUUUAGAGUAGGCAACAAUCUUUUGAGACAGCUUUUUGGCGGCUAAUAGUAGUUAGACUAACUACUGAUGGAGGCUGAAUUUUUGUAAUGGAUAUAUUAGAUAGUGUACAUCUUAGACUAGGCUUAACUCAUUCUUUUGUAUAUUAUAGUGGUUAUGACUGUAUUUCCACUGAUGGGACAAGCUGUUGUUAUGUAAUUGUUUUAUUUAGACCUCUAUUCUUUUGUGGCCUAUGGUCCUUGUAAUUAAUGCUUAGAACUCUGACUUACUCUGAAAGUAUAUUCUAUGGGAUUAUUAUGAUAAUUCUUGUUGUUGGCACUUGAUAAGAA